AUCUUGACAAUAUCUUUCAGCUUGAGUAUCUUGACAAUACCUGGCUCCUCUCUAAAGUAUUGGAGGAAUACGGAAAUGAUGACUUCAAAGUGGAAAAAAAAACUGUUUGCUGGUCCUGCUACUAGAAGAAGAAUCCUUUACAGACCUGAGUAUGAAGUGUCACACCGUUUCUCCUGCCUCGGGGAUGGUGGAGUGAUGUGUUGAGCUGGUGUACUAUCAGUAUCAGCUGGCCCCUUCUGGCCAUGAAAGUGAGCUGGAAAUGAACUGCUGCUGUCUCAAGCCAGUGAAAUAUCAGGGAUAUUCAUUUCCAUAGCACAAAGUCACAUAUCCUGAUUCAUUAGUCCAGUGUGGAAGCAUCAUGAUGCCAACAAUUUACAGUGCAUGAGAACUGCUUAUAAUUUGCCUUAAAUUUUUAAAUUUUAAUUUGUAGUACAUAAUGAUUACAUUCAUUGUAGGGAGUUGGUACAUACAUAAUAUAUCUUAAUUCUUUUUACGUACCCUCUCCCAUCUCCCUCCAUCUCGAUCCCUUUCCCAUUUUCAAAAGUUG
rnacentral:lncRNA from 1 species